rnacentral:lncRNA from 1 species
GAUAAUGGACAAUGACGAUUUAUAUCAUUGGUCUCGUUCGUCGUAAUGGUGUAUAAAAUCCACCUUGACGACCAUUCUGAUAUAUCACCACCCAUAAACUGAGUCGUUUAAUGUUAAUUCACUUCCUUUUUUAAUCAUAUUUGAUGUUAAUAUUAAUUAAGUAGUAUAUCAAGUGUUAAUUUUUAGCUCUUUUUAGUUUCUUAUUUAGUAGCAGUGAUGAAAAAUUCCUGUGUCGAAGACUUUUUUUGGUCUAUGAUGGUUUACACAAUCCUCUAAGAAGUUCUGAGGUAUAUCAUAUUUCCAAUUUUAGCUCAAAUGCUGUUGAUAUUUAGUUUAUUUGUUGUUAUAGUUAUUUCAUUACUUUGUGUUUUUCUAGUAGUAAUAAUUUACUAUGUUGCUAGACUCUCCAAAAAUGAUGUUGGACCUCUGUUGGCAUUUUUGAAUAGUUAAGUAAUGUGGAUAAUUUAUGUCUGACAAGGAAUGAAGUGAUGAUAGAAUUCAUAAGUCUGUCUAUCCACUGAAAUACAUUUUUAUGAUGUAAAGGGUGAAUCCCGACAGGUUCUGAUCAUUCAAAAUAAUUAAUCCUUUAUUAACUGUGAUUUUUUUGCACUUUUAUUUUAUAAAUUUAUAGUUUUAUGGGCAUAGGAUGAAAUCUUUUAUAUCGUAAAUGGGUAAUUUGCGUCUGAAUCUUUCAUUGAUGCUAUCACCUUGGAGAACUGAUGCCCUUUAAUCUGUUGUUUUAGUUGACACUUCAAAAAUGUCAAUGGGUGCGUGUUGGAUUCUGAUUAGUGUGUUUUUGGAGAAUCCAACAUGAGUUUCAUGUUCAUGGAUUUCAAAUUUAUUCAUUUUGUUGCAUUUAGUUAUGAUGAAAGCCAAUUUGCAGAGCAAGGGUGUCUUUCAAAAAUGACAAAACACUUGCAUUGAAGGUUGGCGAUAUCUUUAGCGAUUCUCCGUGCCUUUCAAACUUUUUUUGUAUUGAUUACGGCCUCGAACAAAUCGCUACAUUCCACCCCAUACCCCACCCCCAUCAAUUAUUAUGGUGCAAUAUUCUCUAUAGAGUGGAUAUGUUCAUAUUUCUCAGCUGAACUUAGUUUGGCACGUUUUCUUUACGGUGCUCAGAUUGGCGCCAUUGAUGACAGAACGUUGUGAUUUCAAGUUGUUUAGGUAUACAUUUUAAGUUUACUUUUAUCUAAAAUAGCUUCAAUUUAUAUGAUCAUCAGAGUCUUUGACAGGAAUGCUUGUGUAGUUAGGUACCUCGAAGAUCUCCUAGUAGGAGUCUUUGGCUAAUCCAUUAUAACAGUGGUGAACUCUGUUAGAUGUUUGUUGGGUUCUAUUUCUGCUUUUUGGAUUUUUGUCAGAUAUAUUUGUUUUAAUAUCCUUGGCCAAUGAUUAAAUUUCUAUUAUAGACAAGCAUAUGACUGAAUUUUCAUCAUGUUGAAAGCCUAAUCUUCUCUAUGAGGCCACUCAUAUUUUUCCUUUUUUCCCUUACCCCUAAGGUAGUGGUACAGACUAUGUACUCUUUUGCCCCCCAGAUCCCACUUUGUGGGAAUAUUUUGUGUAUGUUGUUAUGGUUAUUCUUAAUUGAAAAAAAAUGCUCUUUCAUUGGUGUUAUUACUUAAUUAAAUGGGUCAUAUGAUGAUUAGAAGCAUAGUUCAAAUGAAACCUUGGUGAUUAUAAAACUUCUUUUAGUCUUUCGCUCCUAUCUGAUGACUCCUUAAUUCUGUUGAAAAUAUGUUUUUUGGGGUACUUUAUAUUGUUUUUUGAAAAGUUGAAAUGAUUAAUGGACUGUGACGACUUAUAUCAUUGGUCUCGUUCGUCGUAAUGGUGUUAAAUCCACCUUGACGACCAUUCUGAUAUAUCACCACCCAUAAACUGAGUCCUAUAAUUAAACUUUUUACUUACUUUCCUAGUGUAGUUGGUGUUAAUUUUGCAAUAACAUGAGUAUUAUAUAUAUGUAUGUGUGUGCGCGCGCGCCUGUAUGCGUAUAUGUAUGUGUAUAUAUGUAUACAUAUAUGUAUAUAUCGUGCUGUGAUGAAAAAUGUUUGUGUCGGAGACUUUUGGUCUGUGAUGGCUUACACUACCCUCUAAGAAGUUCUGAGCACUUGUGUUUUUCAAGUUUCAACGCAAAUAUUUUCUGUGUAGUGUCUUUUAUCUGUUGUAAGUACUCUGAUUUUCUUUAAAAUACUUGCAUUGUUAAUUUCUGUUAGAGGUUGAACGAAGUGAUGAUAGAAUUCAUAAGUCUGUCAAUCCACUGAAAUACAUUUUAUGAUGUAAAGAGUGAAUCCCGACAGGUUCUGAUCGUUCAAAUUAAUUAUAGUCUUCCAUUAAUAUGUCC